rnacentral:rRNA from 1 species
UGCCAGCAGCCGCGGUAAUACGUAAGGGGCAAGCGUUACCCGGAAUUAUUGGGCGUAAAGCGUCCGCAGGUGGAGGUAUAAGUAGGUUAUUAAAUACCGGAGCUCAACUUCGGUGCUGUAAUCUAAACUGUAUUUCUAGAGGUUAGGAGAGGUAUGCGGAAUGGUGCAAGUAGGGGUAAAAUCCGUAGAUAUGCAUCGGAACACCAAAAGCGAAGGCAGCAUACUGGCCUAUACCUGACACUCAGGGACGAAAGCGUAGGUAGCAAAACGGAUUAGAUA